GAGUUUGAUCUUGGCUCAGAUUGAACGCUGGCGGCAUGCCUUACACAUGCAAGUCGAACGGCAGCACGGGAGCUUGCUCCUGGUGGCGAGUGGCGAACGGGUGAGUAAUGCAUCGGAACGUAUCCUGGAGUGGGGGAUAACGUAGCGAAAGUUACGCUAAUACCGCAUAUUCUGUGAGCAGGAAAGCGGGGGACCUUCGGGCCUCGCGCUCUUGGAGCGGCCGAUGUCGGAUUAGCUAGUUGGUGAGGUAAAGGCUCACCAAGGCGACGAUCCGUAGCAGGUCUGAGAGGAUGAUCUGCCACACUGGAACUGAGACACGGUCCAGACUCCUACGGGAGGCAGCAGGUGGGAAUUUUGGACAAUGGGGGCAACCCUGAUCCAGCCAUGCCGCGUGAGUGAAGAAGGCC
rnacentral:rRNA from 1 species